rnacentral:rRNA from 1 species
GAUGAACGCUGGCGGCGUGCUUAACACAUGCAAGUCGAACGGUGAAGCAGGAGCUUGCUCUGGUGGAUCAGUGGCGAACGGGUGAGUAACACGUGAGCAACCUGCCCCUGACUAUGGGAUUAGCGCUGGAAAGGGUGACUAAUAAUGGAUAUUUGAUGUGACGGCAUGGUCUGCAUCUGGAAAGAAUUUCGGUUAGUGAUGGGCUGGCGGCCUAUCAGCUUGUGGGGGAGGUAAUGGGUCACCCAGGCGUCGAGGGGUAGCGGGGCUGAGAGGGUGACCGGCCACACUAGGACGGAGACAAGGCCCAGACUCCUACGGGAGGCAGCAGUGGGGAAGAUUGCACAAUGGGCGGAAGCCUGAUGCAGCAACGCCGCGUGAGGGAUGACGGCAUUCGGGUUGUAAACCUCUUUUAGCAGGGAAGAAGAGAAAGUGACGGUACCUGCAGAAAAAGCACCGGCUAACUACGUGCCAGCCGCCGCGGUAA